rnacentral:piRNA from 1 species
UUGGGAAUUUGUAGCGGUUAAACCAUUCCCA